AUUCAAUAGUAUGAAUAUUCAAAGAGUAUGAAUACAGUGUACUCAAACUCUUUGUCCUUUUGAUUAAGCCAUAGUUGUUAACGAGUUUAAUGCUCAGUUUUUUUUUUCUUUCAACUAGCCAUGUCCAUCUUCAUGUGAUCAGCCAGGAUUUUGAUUCUCCUUGCCUUAAAAACAAAAAACAUUGGAAUUCUUUCAAUACAGAAUACUUCCUAGAAUCACAAGCUGUGAUCGAGAUGGUACAAGAGGCUGGUAGAGUGACUGUCCGAGAUGGAAUGCCUGAGCUCUUGAAGCUGCCCCUUCGUUGUCAUGAGUGCCAACAGCUGCUGCCUUCCAUUCCUCAGCUGAAAGAACAUCUCAGGAAGCACUGGACACAGUGAUUCUGCAGAGCCUGAGCUGCUGCUGCGGUGUGGCCCACUGGAGCAAACUGCUGGCAUCUAUUCUGGGUUGCUUGUGAACUUCUACUCAUUUCCUAAAUGAAAACAUGCAGCUUUUUC